rnacentral:rRNA from 1 species
UGGGGAAUUUUGGACAAUGGGCGAAAGCCUGAUCCAGCCAUGCCGCGUGCAGGAUGAAGGCCUUCGGGUUGUAAACUGCUUUUGUACGGAACGAAAAGACUCUGGUUAAUACCUGGGGUCCAUGACGGUACCGUAAGAAUAAGCACCGGCUAACUACGUGCCAGCAGCCGCGGUAAUACGUAGGGUGCAAGCGUUAAUCGGAAUUACUGGGCGUAAAGCGUACGCAGGCGGUUAUAUAAGACAGAUGUGAAAUCCCCGGGCUCAACCUGGGAACUGCAUUUGUGACUGUAUAGCUAGGGUACGGCAGAGGGGGAUGGAAUUCCGCGUGUAGCAGUGAAAUGCGUAGAUAUGCGGAGGAACACCGAUGGCGAAGGCAAUCCCCUGGGCCUGUACUGACGCUCAUGCACGAAAGCGUGGGGAGCAAACAGGAUUAGAUACCCUGGUAGUCCACGCCCUAAACGAUGUCAACUGGUUGUUGGGUCUUCACUGACUCAGUAACGAAGCUAACGCGUGAAGUUGACCGCCUGGGGAGUACGGCCGCAAAGUUG